CAGUAGCCACGGUAAUACGAAGGGUGCAAGCGUUACUCGGAAUUACUGGGCGUAAAGCGUGCGUAGGUGGUGGUUUAAGUCCGUUGUGAAAGCCCUGGGCUCAACCUGGGAAUUGCAGUGGAUACUGGAUCACUAGAGUGUGGUAGAGGAUAGUGGAAUUUCCGGUGUAGCAGUGAAAUGCGUAGAGAUCGGAAGGAACAUCUGUGGCGAAGGCGACUAUCUGGGCCAACACUGACACUGAGGCACGAGAGCGUGGGUAGCAAACAGGAUUAGAUACCCCAGUAGUCCCUGUCUCUUAUAC
rnacentral:rRNA from 1 species